GAUGAAGAACGUAGCGAAAUGCGAUAAGUAAUGUGAAUUGCAGAAUUCAGUGAAUCAUCGAAUCUUUGAACGCACAUUGCGCCCGCCAGUAUUCUGGCGGGCAUGCCUGUUCGAGCGUCAUUUCAACCAUCAAGCCCCAGGCUUGUGUUGGAGCCCUGCGGCUGCCGCAGCCUCCCAAAACCAGUGGCGGGCUCGCUAUCACACCGAGUGCAGCAGUUUACUCUUCGCUCAGGGCGUGUGGCGGGUGCUAGCCGUAAAACCCCCAACUUCUCAAGGUUGACCUCGGAUCAGGUAGGAAUACCCGCUGAACUUAAGCAUAUCAAUAAGCGGAGGA
rnacentral:misc_RNA from 1 species